UACGAAGGGAGCUAGCGUUGUUCGGAAUCACUGGGCGUAAAGCGCACGUAGGCGGAUGUGUCAGUCAGGGGUGAAAUCCCGGAGCUCAACUUCGGAACUGCCCUUGAUACAGCACGUCUUGAGUCCGGAAGAGGUGGGUGGAAUUCCUAGUGUAGAGGUGAAAUUCGUAGAUAUUAGGAAGAACACCGGUGGCGAAGGCGGCCCACCGGUCCGGUACUGACGCUGAGGUGCGAAAGCGUGGGGAGCAAACAGG
rnacentral:rRNA from 1 species